rnacentral:rRNA from 1 species
AAGCUCGUAGUUGAAUUUCGGGGUUCUACCGUUGGUCGGGCUAACAAGUCUGUACUAGCGUGUAGAAUCCCUACCUUCUGGGGAACCAUCAUGUUAUUAAUUUAGCGUGGUGGGAAACCAGGACCUUUACCUUGAAAAAAUUAGAGUGUUCAAAGCAGGCCUACGUCUGAAUACAUUAGCAUGGAAUAAUAAAAUAGGACGGUGGUCCUGUUUUGUUGGUUUCUGAAUCACCGUAAUGAUUAAUAGGGAUAGUUGGG